GAAGCAUCCAGGGGGAGUUCCAGCAGCGGAACUGAGAGGCCGGAGCACGAUCCGGCGACCCCACGAACCUGAUCCAGUUCGCACUGGCGUAGGGAUGGAGCGUUUGCGCCUC
rnacentral:ncRNA from 2 species